rnacentral:rRNA from 1 species
AUUGAACGCUGGCGGCAGGCCUAACACAUGCAAGUCGAGCGAGCGGCGGACGGGUGAGUAAUGUCUGGGAAACUGCCUGAUGGAUGGGGAUAACUACUGGAAACGGUAGCUAAUACCGCAUACCAUCAGAUGUGCCCAGAUGGGAUUGGCUAGUAGGUGGGGUAACGGCUCACCUAGGCGACGAUCCCUAGCUGGUCUGAGAGGAUGAACAGCGACACUGGAACGAAGACACGGUCCAGAAUCCUACGGGAGGCAGCAGUGGGGAAUAUUGCACAAGGGGCGCAAGCCUGAUGCAGCCAUGCCGCGUGUGUGAAGAAGGCCUUCGGGGUGUAAAGCACUUUCAGCGGGGAGGCGUUACCCGCAGAAGAAGCACCGGCUAACUCCGUGCCAGCAGCCGCGGUAAUUC